rnacentral:rRNA from 1 species
CGUAUCACUUAAAGCGAUUCAGCGGGUUACGAUUGACGGAGCGAAGCGACGUCAAAGCGUAUACAAAGUCGAGUCGGUUUAAGGAUACGUUCGUUGGGUAGGGGAGCGUUCUGUAAGCCUGUGAAGGUGGCCUGUGAGGGUUGCUGGAGGUAUCAGAAGUGCGAAUGCUGACAUAAGUAACGAUAAAGCGGGUGAAAAGCCCGCUCGCCGGAAGACCAAGGGUUCCUGUCCAACGUUAAUCGGGGCAGGGUGAGUCGACCCCUAAGGCGAGGCCGAAAGGCGUAGUCGAUGGGAAACGGGUUAAUAUUCCCGUACUUGGUGUUACUGCGAAGGGGGGACGGAGAAGGCUAUGUUGGCCGGGCGACGGUUGUCCCGGUUUAAGCGUGUAGGCUGGUUUUCCAGGCAAAUCCGGAAAAUCAAGGCUGAGGCGUGACGACGAGGCACUACGGUGCUGAAGCAACAAAUGCCCUGCUUCCAGGAAAAGCCUCUAAGCAUCAGGUAACAUCAAAUCGUACCCCAAACCGACACAGGUGGUCAGGUAGAGAAUACCAAGGCGCUUGAGAGAACUCGGGUGAAGGAACUAGGCAAAAUGGUGCCGUAACUUCGGGAGAAGGCACGCUGACACGUAGGUGAAGUGAUUUACUCAUGGAGCUGAAGUCAGUCGAAGAUACCAGCUGGCUGCAACUGUUUAUUAAAAACACAGCACUGUGCAAACACGAAAGUGGACGUAUACGGUGUGACGCCUGCCCGGUGCCGGAAGGUUAAUUGAUGGGGUCAGCGCAAGCGAAGCUCCUGAUCGAAGCCCCGGUAAACGGCGGCCGUAACUAUAACGGUCCUAAGGUAGCGAAAUUCCUUGUCGGGUAAGUUCCGACCUGCACGAAUGGCGUAAUGAUGGCCAGGCUGUCUCCACCCGAGACUCAGUGAAAUUGAACUCGCUGUGAAGAUGCAGUGUACCCGCGGCAAGACGGAAAGACCCCGUGAACCUUUACUAUAGCUUGACACUGAACAUUGAGCCUUGAUGUGUAGGAUAGGUGGGAGGCUUUGAAGUGUGGACGCCAGUCUGCAUGGAGCCGACCUUGAAAUACCACCCUUUAAUGUUUGAUGUUCUAACGUGGACCCGUAAUCCGGGUUGCGGACAGUGUCUGGUGGGUAGUUUGACUGGGGCGGUCUCCUCCUAAAGAGUAACGGAGGAGCACGAAGGUUGGCUAAUCCUGGUCGGACAUCAGGAGGUUAGUGCAAUGGCAUAAGCCAGCUUGACUGCGAGCGUGACGGCGCGAGCAGGUGCGAAAGCAGGUCAUAGUGAUCCGGUGGUUCUGAAUGGAAGGGCCAUCGCUCAACGGAUAAAAGGUACUCCGGGGAUAACAGGCUGAUACCGCCCAAGAGUUCAUAUCGACGGCGGUGUUUGGCACCUCGAUGUCGGCUCAUCACAUCCUGGGGCUGAAGUAGGUCCCAAGGGUAUGGCUGUUCGCCAUUUAAAGUGGUACGCGAGCUGGGUUUAGAACGUCGUGAGACAGUUCGGUCCCUAUCUGCCGUGGGCGCUGGAGAACUGAGGGGGGCUGCUCCUAGUACGAGAGGACCGGAGUGGACGCAUCACUGGUGUUCGGGUUGUCAUGCCAAUGGCACUGCCCGGUAGCUAAAUGCGGAAGAGAUAAGUGCUGAAAGCAUCUAAGCACGAAACUUGCCCCGAG